rnacentral:lncRNA from 1 species
AUGGCAAAUGGGAUGAAUUCAUUUGCUGAGGCUGAGGCCAACCAGUUCUUGCAUCCAGGAUCCCUGGCUUGUCCCUUUAGAACACAUGAUGAGGUCAGGUGGAGCCAGCAUGAGCUUGAAGUCAGGAGACGGGCUGCAUGCGAGUCUGGCACCUGGUACAAUGAGCGUACAUCUCAGACUCCCAGUCAGUAUUUGAGGAAUGAACAAAUGCACGUUGUGAACUCUGACGGGUUAUGGAAAGCUCUGCCAGUCUCAUAGAAAUUUGCCAAUUUUCCUGGUGUAAAUGCUUCCACCUUGGCUGAUUUCAAGCUACCAGUGUGAUGUCACUGAACAUGGGGCUGGGAAGAGACACAAAUAUCAGUCUUAUGGGUGAGUUCCAGCACACCCCUGAGUGCAGGUGGGUUUUUUUGUUUUUGUUUGUUUGUUUGUUUUGAGAUGGAGUCUCGCUCUGUUGCCCAGGCUAGAGUGCAGUGGUGCAAUCUUGGCUUACUGCAAACUCUACCUCCCGGGUUCACGCCAUUCUCCGGCCUCAGCCUCCUGAGUAGCUGGGACUACAGGUGUCCACCCCGCUCCCGGCUUUUUUUUUUUUUUUUUUUGUAUUUUUAGUAGAGACUGGAUUUCACCGUGUUAGCCAGGAUGGUCUCGAUCUCCGGACCUUGUGAUACGCCCGCCUUGGCUUCUGAAAGUUCUGGGAUUAUAGGUGAGUCACCGUGCCCAGCCAGGGUUUGAACCCCAGGAGAGGGAUCCUGGGGUGAGGACUGGAAGCAGCCGGUAGGGCUCGUGGAGUCCCUGGCAGGGAUGGGCUUGCCUGCCUCCCUAGGUUCUCAGGGCCUGCAUCUAUCUGGGUAUGGAAUGGCUUCAACUGUGUUUCCAUCCUGUUGCCCCCCAUGCUUUUUUGUCCAUGGGAUGUGCCUCUGGAAGUGAAUCUCAUUCAUAUUGCCCUAGCUCUUUCCCUCUGUCAGGUUCACUGGAGGUGAAUGCAAGGGCUUAGAGAGGUGGGGUUGCAAAGAGGGGAAAAGGUGCCUUCCCAGCAAGGAUUCUGUCCUUGGGAUACAGCAAGCCUUUGGAAGAGCCCAGCUUCUCUGUCCUGCAGGACUCUUUGAGAUGAUGCAAUAGGAUGUCAUUUCUGCUCUCCUCCAGUUAGCACAGAGCUGACAUUUGGGAAUGUGCCCCUUUAUGUGUUUACUCCUGGAUCUUCUGUAAUUGCCAUAACCACCACAAGCGGUAGGUAGCUUUCCUUCUCCCCAUGUUGCUGAUGAGAAAACUGGGUCAUAGGGAGGUUUAAGAUUUGUCUAAGACUUGUAGCAAGUACAUGGUGGAGCAGGGUUUAAACUCAAAUCAUUGAUUCUAAAGCUCAUGCUAAAAACCAUUUCACCAUAUAUCCUCUCAGGAAUGUAGACUGGCAUGUGUUCUGUCUUAGGAGGUCAAAAAAAGAGAGUGAUUAAAGUGGUCCUUGAGUUGUACUCUUCUCUCUCUCUCUUUUUUUUUUUUUUUUGAGACGGAGUUUCACUCUUGUUGUCCAGGCUGGAGUGCAAUGGCGCGAUCUCAGUUCACCCCAACCUCCACCUCCUGGGUUCAAGUGAUUCUCCUGCCUUGAGUAGCUCCUGCCUCCCGAGUAGCUGGGAUUAUAGGCAUGUGCUACCAUGACCGGCUAAUUUUGUAUUUUUAGUAGAGAUGGGGUUUUCCAUGUUAGGUUGGUCUCGAACUCCCAACCUCCGGUGAUCUGCCCGCCUUGGCCUCCCAAAGUGCUAGGAUUACAGGCGUGAGCCACCAUGCCUGGCCAAGCUGUGCUCUUAUACAUAUAAUGCUAUGGCUUGAAUGUGUCCCUCAUAAGUUCAUGUAUUGGAAACUUAAUGGUCGUUAUAAUGGUAUUAAGAAGUGGGACAUUUAAGAGGUGAUUAGCCAGGAGGACUCUGCACUCAUGAGUGGACUGAUGCUGUUAUUGCAGGAGUGAGCUCCUGAGAAAAGGAUAAGUUUGGCCUCUUUUCUCUCUGUCUCUUAUGAUGGGCAUAGAUGCCAUGUGAUACUUUCCACCAGAGGAUGACCCUCACCAGAUGCCAGUGCCAUGCUCUUGGACUUCCCAGCUUCUAGAACCACGAGCCAAAUAAACAUCUUUUCUACAUAAAUUAUGCAGUCUGUGGUAUUUUGUUGUAACAGCAGAAGAUAGACUGUGACACAGUGAAUGUCACAUGCUGAGUAUUAUUCUACCCGAUCCUCCCGUCUCUCCCUGGUACAGAGAAACAC